rnacentral:rRNA from 1 species
AGGGUGUAAACGCUGCAGACUUGGUGUUGGAAGCCCUUUGGGGGCAUUCAGUGCCGGAGAGAAGUUGUUAAGUCUGCUACUUGGGAGUACGUCCGCAAGGAUGAAACUUAAAGGAAAUUGGCGGGGGAGGCACCGCAACGGGAGGAGCGUGCGGUUUAAUUGGAUUCAACACCGUAAAACUCACCAGGGAAGACUGUUACAUGAAGGCCGAGAUGAAGACUCUGCUAGAUUUUCAGAGAGGUGGUGCAUGGCGUCAGUGACU